rnacentral:lncRNA from 1 species
GGUGAGUUGGUUGAUUAUUUGUUGGUUGGUGAAUUUGUUGAUUGGUUUUUGCCUGGUGAUUGCCCUAUUUAACCUCCCCUUGCUGGCUGCUUGGAUUCCAAGUAUGUGUGAUUAUGAUGUUUUCCUGUGAUCUCUUUAGGAAUCACCUUUGGUUGCUGAAGCAUCCAAAGUGGAAGAACUCUCAGAGGAAACGGAAGUUAAAUCACCAUCUUCUUCUGUGGCUAAACCUAUAACAGUAAGAGGGCAGGAGGAAAAUUCCUGACUAUGACCUGGAUUUCUCCUACUCUCUUAGCCUCUGGAGUAGGGAUAACUCAAUUCAACUUUUCUGCUCUGACUUGUAUUUUGAAGGCCAAGGAAACAAGGCCCAUGCACGCAUGUGCGCGCGCACCUCCCCACCCCCCACACACACUCAGGUUCAUUGUUUUCCCAAUUCCCCAGCAGUUCACAUAUUUCUGUAGACCAAGUCCUUUCCAGUAUCCCCACAAUCUUUUUUCAGAGGCUAUCUUACCAUGAUCUCACCAAGCCCAUGGCAGGAUAGCCCUUCACAAGUUUCUUCCUAAGGAUUCCUCAACCUGCAGAGCUAAAGACUUCUGUCCGAUCUGGGAAUCUACUGCCUUUCUCAGCCAUUUGGACAGAGUCGCUGAAAACUAUGCUGUGCCUUCAUAAAGCCCUGUGAGCUGAAGCAAGACAACUGAAACUUCAGAAUAUAACAGCAACCUAUUUACAUAAAUAAGCCACUUUCAUACCUGCCUACUAAUGUAUGGACUUCAGAGUAAUGGGGCCUAUAUCAAUUUUCCAGGAUUGUUCUUUUGUUUAUUGUGUUUUUCUUUCUUCCUCCCGCUAUUUUCUCUUCACUGGAUGUGAGACUUCACAACCUUUUUAAAAAUAAGAUUUCCUAAUAACUUGGGACCUACCUGUCUAGGAAUAAAGCAUCCUAGCCAUGAGAGAGCAGACAAAACCUGGGACCAGAGAUUUGUUUUCUUCUAAAAUGCUUUCUCCGAAAUAUUUUUAAAAAGAAAAGGGGAGAAAUGUGAAAGGAAAAUAUCUUGGUCCCCCAGAAUCACUAAGCUAAAGAGAAAAUUCAAGCUGGGAACUGUUAGGGCAAACCUGCCUCCCAUUCUAUUCAAAGUCAUCCCUCUUUUGAGAUAAAUGCAUAUCUGAUUGCCUCCUUUGGAAAGGCUAAUAAGAAACUCAAAAGAAUGCAACCAUUUGUCUCUUACCUACCUGUGACCUGGAAGCCCCUGUCUGCUUCAAGUUGUCCUGCUUUUGCUUCAAGUUGUUCUAGCUUUCUGGACAGAACCAAUGUUCAUUUUACCUAUGUUAAUUGAUGUCUCAUAUCUCCCUAAAAUGUAUAAAACCAAGCUGUGUUCUGACCACUUUGGGCACAUGUCAUCAGGACCUCCUGAGGCUGUGUCAUGGGUAUGCGUCCACAACCUUGG